rnacentral:ncRNA from 1 species
UGAUAGCGUAGAAGCGUGAGGUUGCUAUCCGUGAGGGUAGGUUUUCCGUGGAGCGAAUGUCAAGGCCGGUAAGUCCGG